GCUGGCCGGCCCUGGAGUCCUCCUCCGUUUACCUUGAUGUGCCUGCCGGUGAGAAGGAGGAUGAGAUUGCUAUUUCUGCGUCCGAUCUCCACGUAUAGGUUCAUCUCUCUCUCUCUCUGUCUCUCUCUGAAGAUCUUUUUGCUAGGCAAUGGCGUGGCCUACUCCGUCCUCCACCUCUUCUUUGAAGGACACCACCAGAUGAGGUGGCUUGGAGAAGCGCUGGCACCUGAUCCUCAAAUCGUUUGGCUCAUUCUCAGCAGAAGGUGGUGCUCAGGGUUCCUACCAUGACAAAUAGACAAGGUGAAGCAGAAGGCAACUAAAACUGUCGCCAACAUCUACUGUAACACUUUACGCCUCCUAGCUCUGUUGUUUGGGUAGCUGUCAGGACUUUAAAAGUAUGAUUUGGUUAUUUGAUCAAGCAACACAAUAUAUAUAAUUGUUAGCAUGAACUGGCAUAAAAAUACUUGCAACAUUUUCUUACCGUCCAAUCUGCAGUUUAUGUAUCUAAAUGCAUCGACACAUGUUUUAGGUGGAAGCUUGAGAGCAAAAAUACUGUUAAGUGAGAUUAUUCUGUCACAUUUGUCAAUGAAUGGGUGUGAUGGGCAGAACACUUCAGCUAUGGUUGUAGGGAGGGUCUGAUAGAUUCAGCUUCUCGGUUACAGAUGUCCAUUGUUCAUGUUUCUCGACUUCUCCAUUGUGGAUUUCUUGAUAGUUUGUUGUGUGACACUGGCCAUUUUCUUACUACAGGUGUUCCUCUGUCCAUUGGGUGUCCAUUAGUUGCAUAUAUACAACACGCAAAUUUCCAUUUCUUUGGUCAUGCUGCAGAUAUGUUUUUCGUUCUUACAGAUGUACAACCGCCUACACAAAUAAUUUAGAUAAUUAUAAAGGUGUAAUUACCUCUCAAUGUCUGUCCAAAUUACGUUUACGCCGGAUAGAAUUAUAUGGCUUGCACAUAGCACAGAUACAUGCUCUGUUUUUUUUACCUGCAAUUUACUAUGCUAUUUCUUUAGGUCAUAACAUCUUCAGACUUACUUGGAGAAUUUGCACCCAUGUUUACUCAUGUAGGAAAACCCAAGGAUAAUCAGAAUUCCUUUUAGAAUAUUACUAAAUAUAAUGCUAGAAAAACUUGGCGUUUCAAAAGCUGAGUACCAUCUUCAUCUAUGUGAAGAUAACAAGGUCCGUGUCACUGUUAUGUUUAACACGUCUACGCUACCAGUGGAAGGUGCUCCUGUAUAUCUCUCGAUGUCUGGAAUAGAGUCCGGCAGUUAUGAAAUAGCGGAAGAUUCUGCGUGUGUUCAGGCCAUAACAUAUGUUGAGGAAGCAACCAAAACAAUCAUCAAGGAUUUAGGCUACAGCCGGCUGGUAGAAGCUAAAGAGGAAAACAAGAUCCUGUUACAUAAGCUAAAAAAGGCGCACGAAUACAAGAAACAACUUGCUAGGGGUUGGUUUCUUUCUGUGAGGCAUAUGGCUUCAUUCUCUAAACAAAUGCUCAAUAUUGCUUACCUUAACUAUUCUGGUGGACAAGAUUCCGUUGACACGGUUUGGAACAAUCUGCUCACCAACUUGGAAGACUUAGGCUUUAGGCUUAGACAUGCAGGUGCCGUCCUAGAAAAACGCCUGGAGCAAAUGAGGAAGGACCACUUCUCUUAGAUAAGAACGCAAGCAGACCUUACAGAGAACUUUCGUCCUCACUUACAUUACAGCGGUAUGAUCUGGUUCGGAAGCUGGAUACAUGAUUGUGCGGGUUUCUUUUGCUCUUCGUUCGGCUAGACUUCAUCCAAGCUACUUCUCUAACGGCCAGUUCUAGAUUACUUUUGGAAAAGUGUGUUGUUUCCCAAGAAUGUUGUUCACGUGUCAUCCAAUUGUUUUCUGCAAUUUGUUGCCUACGGUAGCAUCUUCACGGGUUUUUCCUAAAUUUCCAUGACAUGUACAUACAUACCUGUUUACUACCUUAUGUAAUAAACUAUCCUGUUUACUACCUUAGGUACAAGUGGAUAUAUAUGUUGGUCUCCUUUUUAUGUGCUCA